rnacentral:lncRNA from 1 species
GCCAAUCAGCAAUGGUGGUCUCUUCCUAUCUGGAUAAAUCCGUUCUACCUGAUAACCCGAUUUGACCGUGUAUUUUCCAUUUUUUGUGAAGUGCCACCCAUCUCUGUCUACCCUCUGAAUCCUGCUCAGUGGUAAACUUUCUAUAAGUUUCGCAUCCUGUGGAUCCACCAAUAACUGAAUUGCCUGUGAGUUCCAAGUACGUGAGGUAGAGUCAAUGAGAGACUCCACUGUAAGACUCCACUGUUGAUUUUUAUUUGCUGGUCUCGGGCGAGUGGUUGGGAGCCAUGGAUCAUUCCAUACAGAUAUGGAAGAACCUGAUCCCAC